rnacentral:rRNA from 1 species
UACGGAGGGUGCAAGUGUUAUUCGGAAUCACUGGGCGUAAAGAGCACGUAGGCGGAUAGGCGAGUCAGAUGUGAAAUCCCGGAGCUCAACUCCGGAACUGCAUUUGAUACUGCCUGUCUUGAGUGAGGUAGAGGGGAGUGGAAUUCCCGGUGUAGAGGUGAAAUUCGUAGAUAUCGGGAGGAACACCAGAGGCGAAGGCGACUCCCUGGGCCUCUACUGACGCUGAGGUGCGAAAGCGUGGGGAGCAAACAGGAUUAGAUA